UGGCCGGGAUAGCUCAGUUGGUAGAGCAG
rnacentral:tRNA from 1 species